rnacentral:rRNA from 1 species
UACGUAGGGGGCAAGCGUUGUCCGGAAUUAUUGGGCGUAAAGAGCGCGUAGGCGGUCCGGUAAGUCGGUUGUGAAAGUCGGGGGCUCAACCCUCGGAUGCCGAUCGAUACUGUCGGGCUAGAGUCCGGAAGAGGCGAGUGGAAUUCCUGGUGUAGCGGUGAAAUGCGUAGAUAUCUGGAAGAACACCAGUGGCGAAGGCGGUCAACUGGCCCGUAACUGACGCUGAGGCACGAAAGCGUGGGUAGCGAACAGG